AACGAACGCUGGCGGCAUGCCUAACACAUGCAAGUCGAACGAGACCUUCGGGUCUAGUGGCGCACGGGUGCGUAACGCGUGGGAACCUGCCCUUAGGUUCGGAAUAACUCCCCGAAAGGGGUGCUAAUACCGGAUAAUGUCUUCGGACCAAAGAUUUAUCGCCUUUGGAUGGGCCCGCGUUGGCUUAGCUAGUUGGUAGGGUAAAAGCCUACCAAGGCGACGAUCCAUAGCUGGUCUGAGAGGAUGAUCAGCCACACUGGGACUGAGACACGGCCCAGACUCUUACGGGAGGCAGCAGUGGGGAAUAUUGGACAAUGGGCGAAAGCAUGAUCCAGCAAUGACGGGUGAGUGAUGAAGGCCUUAGGGUUGUAAAGCUCUUUUACCCGGGAUGAUAAUGACAGUACCGGGAGAAUAAGCUCCGGCUAACUCCGUG
rnacentral:rRNA from 1 species